AUUGAACGCUGGCGGCAGGCCUAACACAUGCAAGUCGAACGAGUGGCGGACGGGUGAGUAAUGUCUGGGAAGCUGCCUUAUGGAGUGUGAUCACUACUGGAAACGGUAUCUAAUACCGCAUACCAUCGGAUGUUCCCAGAUGGGAUUCGCUAGUAGGUGGGGUAAAGGCUCACCUAGGCGACGAUCCCUAGCUGGUCUGAGAGGAUGACCAGCAACACGGGAACUGAGACACGGUCCAGACUCCUACGGGAGGCAGCAGUGGGGAAUAUUGCACAAUGGGCGCAAGCCUGAUGCAGCCAUGCCGCGUGUAUGAAGAAGGACGUCGGGUUGUAAAGUACUUGCAGCGGGGAGGCGUUACCCGAAGAAGAAGCACCGGCUAACUCCGUGCCAGCAGCCGCGGUAAUAC
rnacentral:rRNA from 1 species